GACGGACGCUGGCGGCGUGCUUAACACAUGCAAGUCGAACGGAAAGGCCCUGCUUUUGUGGGGUGCUCGCGUGGCGAACGGGUGAGUAACACGUGAGUAACCUGCCCUUGACUUUGGGAUAACUUCAGGAGACUGGGGCUAAUACCUGAUAGGAGCUCCUGCUGCAUGGUGGGGGUUGGAAAGUUUCGGCGGUUGGGGAUGGACUCGCGGCUUAUCAGCUUGUUGGUGGGGUAGUGGCUUACCAAGGCUUUGACGGGUAGCCGGCCUGAGAGGGGGACCGGCGACAUUGGGACUGAGAUACGGCCCAGACUCCUACGGGAGGCAGCAGUGGGGAAUAUUGCACAAUGGGCGGAAGCCUGAUGCAGCAACGCCGCGUGCGGGAUGACGGCCUUCGGGUUGUAAACCGCUUUCGCCUGUGACGAAGCGUGAGUGACGGUAAUGGGUAAAGAAGCACCGGCUAACUACGUG
rnacentral:rRNA from 1 species